GAAUUCACUAGUGAUUCAGGCCUAACACAUGCAAGUCGAGCGGUAGAGAGAAGCUUGCUUCUCUUGAGAGCGGCGGACGGGUGAGUAAUGCCUAGGAAUCUGCCUGGUAGUGGGGGAUAACGUUCGGAAACGGACGCUAAUACCGCAUACGUCCUACGGGAGAAAGCAGGGGACCUUCGGGCCUUGCGCUAUCAGAUGAGCCUAGGUCGGAUUAGCUAGUUGGUGAGGUAAUGGCUCACCAAGGCUACGAUCCGUAACUGGUCUGAGAGGAUGAUCAGUCACACUGGAACUGAGACACGGUCCAGACUCCUACGGGAGGCAGCAGUGGGGAAUAUUGGACAAUGGGCGAAAGCCUGAUCCAGAAAGGGCCGCGUGUGUGAAGAAGGUCUUCGGAUUGUAAAUUAAUGGAAGUUGGGAGGAAGGGCAUUAACCUAAUACGUUAGUGUUUGACGUACCGACAG
rnacentral:rRNA from 1 species